AACUAAAAGGUGUGUUUAAGAGUUAGUAGUUUUAUAUUUUGGGUAAAGUUAUGUUUCAGAAAUAUGUGAUUAGUACAUGCAAUAUGCAUUUUAUGAAUGUAAAGUAUGAAAUAGUCAAAAUCUGGUCUAACGCUUACUAAUGACUAGCUUUGGCUGGAAACGAAAAGUUGGACAGAAGAUUUCUAAGGAGGUUUCCCAGGUGUUUACCGAAGCUUCCUUGAAUAAAGAUGAAGGAUGUUACAUUCCUGAUGAUGUGGAUUGGUUGGACAGUUUUAAACGCCGCAAAGCUCAUCUCCUGGAAGACUGUAAAAGUAAAAGUCAGAGACUGAAAAAUGAAGGAACUGUUCUCGCUGAAAAUGGAAGAUACUGGGAGGCCAUUAAGAAGUGGGAUGAAGCCAUCCAGCUCACACCAGUUGAUGAGGGUAUUUGUCAGUUGUAUGAAAUGAAAUCCCAGGCUUUAAUGCAAUUGAAUGAAGUAUUUCCUGCAGUUCAAGCAGCUGAAAAGGCCGUAAAUCUUAACCCUGUGUGGUGGAUUGCAUACCAAACUUUAGGUCGUGCACAGUUAGGAAUAGGAGAAAUAAAACUAGCUCUGACUAGUUUUAGCAAAGCUUACCACAUUAAUCCAGCCAACGUGGACUUGUGGGAAAAUGACAUAAAGUACACUCACAAUCUGGUGAAGAAGAAGAAACAAGUUGAAUCAGCUCAAAGUUAUGAAGAAUACCUAUGUAAACAAGCUCUUGCUGAAUCCGAGAACAUGGUGUUUGACGAAGAUGGUGUUCUUAUCAGUUUUAGAGAAGAUUCAACAAAGACUUUUUCAAAGAAUGUUAAGAAUGAUUUAGUAAGAUGCCGGUUUUGAGACGGUGGUUCUAAAAUGACUUGGACACAAACUGAGGAUCGUUAGUAAGUUUCCAACUGGGAAACAUUUAAAUGUGUAGGAUUUAUAUAAUGAUCAUUUUAAAAUUGAUCUUGUACAAUGUGUAUUUGAAGAUUGUUUUGAGUUGACAAAUGUGUCCUAAGUUUUGUAAAUAACAAAUGUAAACAAGUUGUGAUUUAUUAUAUACGUACCAGCUGUGUUUGUUACUGUAACAAAACAUCAAGUAAUAAUCUACUACUUGUAUAUAUAUAAGACAAUGAUUUGUAAGCUUAAUGAGAUAUUUUAAUACAUACUACAUGUUAUGACAGAGCAUUGGUCUGUCUUCUUCAGAUAUGAUACAAAUCCAAACAAAAAGGUUUAUAUACAGAAUAAAAAUGUCUGGGGACUAUAGUCAACAGGGUGUUAUUAGGUUACAACAAUAAAUUAUGACAGAUUUAUUACCUAAAGGAAGAUCAGAGAGAAGGGAAGCUGGUGAAUAAAUUUAGACUGAUUUUGUUAAGGUUACUAGGGCUAUUGUCAUGUUUUAUAGAUAAAACACUUGUUUUUAUAAUUUCCAUGCUUUCAAGAAUAUUCCAUUCUAUUUUAUGUUUUGGUUGGUGUAAGAGGGACAUUUUUUCCCAAAUAAACCUAUGAAUGGUUUCAAAUUGAUGAUGUGUUAAGGCAGAUUUUUCAAAAUCCCUCUAAGCAUACGGCUUUGAUGUUCUUUUCGUCUGAUUUUGAGAGAUUGGGCAAUUUGUCUAAAGUAUUUCUUAUCACAUUUUGUGUUAUAUAUGCCUUAUUUUGUUUGUUCAUUAGAGCUUGUUUUAAGGUAUAUAAUGAAGCACUUAUCUUAUGUGAGGGGUUAUAUACAAUUCUUACUUCCAGUUUUAAAGUUAUUAAAUAAAAGGUUAUUUCAAUAGCCAUUUCAGGAACAAAAGUAAACAAGACAAACUUAUUAUGAUUUAUGUUACUGAUAAGGGAAAGGCUGGAAUUAAUGUAGAAAUGUUUGUAAUUUUAUGAGUUUGAUAAAGUUUCUGUUUAUGAUAUCAGGACUGAAACCCCUAGAUAUAGCAACAUUUUUUAAGUAGUUAAGUUCAAUGUAUAAGUCUGUUUUGUGAGUACAGAAUUAUAUUGCAUGGUUUAUGAGAGUAUAGUAUGUAGAACUUUUUUGUGACAGAUGGUGAUUAUAUCUUUGGUGUGGUGGCAUAGAUACAGCAAAAAUUUUCAUGUAUAUAUUGGUGAUCAUAUUCUUGUUUUAUCUCAUAAUUUUAACCCCUUAAAAAGGAAAUGCAGUUUUCAGAUUCUGUUGCAUAUGUAAAUGUUAUAAUAGUUGGUCUUGUACUGUUUACAAAUUCAUCAAAAGUGGGUACACUGUCUCUACCAUGUUGCCAUAUGCUAAAGAUAUCAUCCACAUAACUUAGCCAAAUUACAGGUUUUUGUGUAUGCAUGAAAGAAUGUCCAAAAUGUUCUUUGAACACAGACAUGUAUUGGUCAGUAAGUAGGGGAGAAAGGGAGGAUCCCAUGGUUAAACCACUGAUUUGUUUGUAGAAGUUAUCUUAAUAGGUAAAGUAAGUGUUGUUGACACAGUAUUUAGUUAGGCUAGUAAAGUAAAUGUUGUUGACACAGUAUUUAGUUAGGCUAGUAAAGUAAGUGUUGUUAACACAGUAUUCAGUUAGUCUAGUAAAGUAAGUGUUGUUAACACAGUAUUCAGUUAGUCUAGUAAAGUAAGUGUAGUUAACACAGUAUUCAGUUAAUCUAGUAAAGUAAGUGUUGUUAACAGUGUUUAGUUAGUCUAGUAAAGUAAGUGUAGCUAACACAGUAUUCAGUUUGGAUCAGGGUUAGUUUGUUCCAGUUUGGCCUUUAAAUAGAUUAGGGCCUGUUCUAUAGGUAUAGGAAUGAGGAGAGAUUUCAUGUCAAAUGAUAUUAAAAUGUCUUGUUUUUCUUUUAUUGAAGCAAUAAUUGAAAAAAACCAAGACAUUUUAGUAUGCUUUGAUAUAAAAGUUUUAUUUCUGUAUUCUUAUUCAAAAGGGUUAACCUAUUAUCUUUUGAUCUUGAAGGAAAUGGGGUAGUGGUCACCAUCAAUAAUUUCAUGUGCUUUGAAGUUGGUGUUGUUGUAACUUGGCAAGUGUUUAAUUUUUUAACCAUUUGACCAGAAACUCAAAAAGAGCUCAAAGCCAAAUGUAAUUGGGGUGUUCAGAAAGGUAUAUUUCUCUUCACCCUAAUCAAGAUCUAAGGAUAACUUAACUAGCUAAUAAUAAUAGAGUGAAUGUUACUUAGAUACGGUGAUGGUAUACUCAUUCAAAAUAAAAUAGGAGGAGGAAAGUCGGCAAGUAAAACACGUCAAAACUGACAGAAUAAUCUAUCUGGAUAGUGGCUGAACUGUGGGACUAAGACGUAUAUGGAUUAGUACACAUGAACAUAUAAAGUUGUAACUAGAUUUAAGGGAAACGUGGGUGCGCCAAGUUUCUGGGGUAUUAGACAGAUAUGAAAAUUCUAUAGUUAAUGGGUUGUGGUUUACUUCUUUUUCAUAAAAAUCUUUAGCUAGCUUGAUUAUUCUGUCUGAUGGUAUCUUAUUAACUGUGUUGAGGUAGAUUAGUGGUGUGUGUAUAUAUAUAGGUAACCAGAAAGCUAUUCUUAAAGCUAAAUUCUGUUGUGUCUGUAGUUUCAUAAAUAGUGUAUCUGACAUGUUACAUAGGAUCAUACUGCCAUAUUCAGCUAAGGGUGUGAUAUAAAUACAAGUACAAUGGUGUCUGGGUUGCAUCUUUUUUGGAGUCCCCCCCCCCCAAUCUUCUGAAGAUUACAUAAUCUUUGGUUCAUUUUACUACAGACAUUGUUAAUGUGCUCUGUCCAUGUUAGUUUAGAGAUAAAAGGCUAAUGGGUCUGUAAUUAUUGGGAUCUUGGAGAUUUAGGGAUUAUGUGAUUAUUAAUUACUAGAUUAUUUACUCUGCCUUCACCAGGGGAGAUAUUGUUUUUGAGUUGCUUAAUGUUAAUUUUUAAUCCUGCUACAGUAAUUUGGUGAGUGGAAAUGCCAUAUGUUAGUUUGUAUGAAAUUGGGUGUGAGAAUAUCUUCGUUUACAGAGAUAAACUUGUUGAUUUUUUUCGAGAUGCACGUUGUCAAAUGAAGGUAAGUUCAUUGUUGUAAAUUGCCACUACUAUUAUCAUAUUUUAUGUGGGUCGUGAUUUUUAGUUGUAUGGCAUAUGCACUUGAAUUUCUUCCAAAAUUUGACUGAUUGGUCUAUUGAAAUACAGAAAUUCUCCCAAUUAGUUUGUUGUUGUUGUUCACUGAUUAACUUUUUUGUGUUGUCUCUAGGUUUAGGAAGUGUUUUAAAGUUAGGUAAGGUAACGGUUGACUUACUAUUUAAUAGGGUUACAUUUACUGCUAUUACUGAAGGGUUACUUUUAUUAGCAAAAUUAAAAAGUUAAUAUUUUCUAUAUCUUAGACCACCUUGAAUGUUUACAUGUAAAAAGUUUAGAGAAUUGUUAAACUUGGUCUUUGUUUCUCUGAGCUAUUAGGUCCACCAGGAUUUCUGGUGAAAGUCCAUGGACCUGUAUGUGGUGUCGGGCUGUUGAGGCUGGGAGGGUUGCGUCUGGUGGCAGAUGCAUAAAAAGCUGGGCGUGUGGUUGAUUCUUGUUGAUGUGAAGCUGCUUGGCGUUGUUGAGUUGUGCUAGUACUGGAAAAGACUGGCUGGAAGGUGGCACAGAUGUGGGUGUAGGGCGUAGAGUCUUGGAUCUAACUCCACAAACAAGUUGGAAUUUAGGGCAUACUCCAUAGCAACCAAUGUGCUGGCCUCUGCAGUUGCUGCCUUGCCCGUUCUUCUGGCAUUUGGUGACUGGGUGCUCUCCGGCACAGUGAGCUUUGGCAGUACAAGCAGCACAGGUAUGGCCAAAUCUCUGCCAGUUAAAGCACUGGAGAACAGGUUGGCUGGAAUUGUUUGGUUCUUCUACCUUGAAGUGUUUGAACCAAAGGGUGAUUCUGUCUUGUAGGACUUGCGUGGCUUGUUUUGGAUCCAUCAGGGUAAUUCGUACUAGAGGUGUUAGUUCAUCAGUGCGUGUUAACUUGAUUCUACUGGUGGUUGUGACUUUGAAACCUCAUGGAGGUUUGUUUGUUUGUUUGUUUUUGGUUUUUAACUUUCUUGACUUUUCUAUUAUACUACUUAUAUAUGAGUGAGGUUUAUCAUUUCAUAGUGCUUGUGGUUUUAUUUUUUUCUACAAUUAAUUUGGAGUUGAACACAACUGUGUAGGUAUAAAAUAAUGCACAGUUGUAAGCGGACCCCAUUACCUUGAAAGUCUUACUAAUAGCUGUUGCUGUUAAAUAUCUUGUAAAUUAGGUUAUCCUAGACCUCCACCUAGUAUCAUUAAAAUAUCUUGUAAAUUAGGUUAUCCUAGACCUCCACCUAGUAUUGUUAAAAUAUCUUGUAAAUUAGGUUAUCCUAGACCUCCACCUAGUAUUGUUAAAUAUCUUGUAAAUUAGGUUAUCCUAGACCCCCUCCUAGUAUUGUUAAAAUAUCUUGUAAAUUAGUUUAUCCUAGACCUCGUGUUCUUCAUUGGGUUGUGUUUGUGUGUGUGUGCUUGUACUUGGUUUUACUCUGUGUGUUUUUCUCAAUUUUUCUUUGGCUUAGCUUGUGUAUAAUUACUUGCUUCUUCAUGUAUUUCAGUAUGUUUUUGUGACUGUGUUUGUGUAGUUUGUAUCUUCUCAUGUUCUGUGUAAUAUGUUUGUAAUGAAUCAUGUUCUUCAUAGUGUUGUGUGGAAAUGACUUGGGUGUCAAUAUCAAUGAUUUCCAUGCUUGUACAUAAAAUAGAACAAAAUAUUCAUUAAAGCAUUGAAAUUAUGAAAAUAGGUGUUUUAUCUUUAAACCAUGACAAUGGCCCUAGUAACAUUAACAAAAUCUGGCAAAGUUUAUUUGCCUAGCCUCCCUUCCCUAUGAACUUCCUUUAGAUAAUAACACUGUCAUGCUUUAUUGUUGUCACAUGAUAACAUCUUGUUACCCAUAGUUCCUAGACAUUUUUGUUCUAUAUAUAAACCUAUUUAUUGGAUUUGUAUCAUAUCUUGGAAUUUAUUAGUAUAUUGAUUCAUUAAUUUAUUUCCGACAUGAUUUUUCCCACACUUAGCAAAUCGACGACCACGCCUAUUCUGCCUGUAAUCCUUGAUGGAUUACCCCUAGCCUUCUCACUGCGUGAGGUAAUACAUUUCAUCACCAAGUACAAGCCCGGAGCCACAAUGGACCCCAGCAAGAGCACGAUGCUAAGACGAGCAGAAUUUUCCUACAGUCAACAUCAAAAUCUGUUAUAACAUACCUCUGCAGUCUUCAGGACUCUACACCACCGGUCUCCUGCAAAUCCCCACGAAGUCAGUCCCAACUAUACACUGUAUUUUUAAGAGAUGUCGACCCAUUUAUAAGUCAGGAUGAUAUCAAGAACACAAUAGAACACUCCCUUAAAACCAAACACCAUGCAGCCCACCACAUCAACUCAAAAAGUUCAGGAAAACCACACCAUUUCGUCGAGAUAGUUACAACGUUGCAGCAAUCUUCAAACCAUAUCCUUACCCACGAAAUCUCCUAUCAUCUAUACCACUUCAGAGCCGAAAAACCGCACCGCAAACCUCCUCGUCGCCCACCUCCACCAGGUACGGUUCUUCCUAUCAUCAAGCAGCCACAUUCUUAAAAACCCAUCCGAAGAUUUGGUCCCGCAAGCUCUACCCUUCUACUCUUUCACCGGUCAACUCAAACUCGGAGAACAACCUCAACCACCUCUGAGUAUCACACGAGAUGCCUCCACAAUGACAGAUGACAUUAUCACAGUCUGCCCAAAUAAAACCCUACAAGAGAAUCUCAGUGGCUCACCACAGAUGAAUCCAGCUGCACUCAGUUCUCUUUUUCCCAUCGCCUCUUGACCAAUGGUGAAGACGAUUUGCCUCAUGAUAGACCCCCCUCCAAAACAACCUGUUGCUUUCAACUGCUUGUUUACAAAAACAAGCUUCCUCUCAAGCUAGUUCUACAUCGUGCAGCCCUCUUCCUUCUUUACCGAUCAUCAGUUAAGCCUAACCGGGCACUGGCUGAUAAUUAUCAGGCACCAGCUAGUGAAAGUGGGUUUUCUCAGAGUGCUCACCCCCCGUAUCUAACUCCAGGCAUUGGAUCUAUAGGUCUCCCGCCGCCCUGAAGGACAACGAGUCCUACCCUACAUCGGCCGUUUGUUUUUUGCUGACUUUUCCUGAUUCCCUCUUUGCUGCUUUUUACUUGCUACUGAUCCAUAAGCCAUCGUGUGCUUCUCAAAAAUUAUCAAGUCUGUGUUAUUUGUUGUUGUUGUUUAUUCACGUAAUCAUUCCAAAUUAUCUAUACCACGAGAUUAGGAUUAAACGUUUUAAACCAAAAUUACUAUCAAUGUUUUUGAUGUUUUUUGUAUCACAUCUGAAGAAGACAGACCAAUGCUCUGUCAAAACAUGUAUGUAUUAAAAUAUUUCAUUACUCCUACAAAUCGUUGUCUUAUAUAUAUACACGUGUCCUAGCAAAAUGUGUUUCCCUACUCAAAUAUACAAAUCUACUACUGGUUAAAUACAGUAAAAUAUUAUAACUGGUAAACUGCCUUUUGCACAUGUCUUAUCAUAUACAUAGUGUUUUUUUUAAUUGAAUUAAUAUAUUUUUAGAGCUGUGCUAUGACAGUUUGUAGUCUUCCCUAUUAGACUGAUAUUUGUAUUUUACAUUAUACUAGAUAUUAAGCCUAAGACUAUAUACAUACGUUUUAACUAUAACAUCAUUGGUUAAUCAUCAGAAAUGAUAAAAUGCUGUAUAUUUCAUACAUAAUAAAACUAUUUACCAUA